GCCGAAAUGGAAAUGUUAGCAAUGAUUAGAGAAUGACAAUCAAUUAAUGGAACUACAGGACUUUCAUCUUUACUGAGUAACCAGUCAAUGUAAAAAAAAUACAAAUUUAAAAAAUUUAGCUUCGGCCUCGGUUUCUCUAUCGAAAUUCUAUAUUCUUUCAAAACAAAAACGGCAGUAGGACAGCUCACUCCUGUGCGGCCAUCAAACACAGACAUCCUUCGGCCGAGGGUUGGAAUACUAGCGCCAUAUUUGACCGCUCUGUUGGCCUUAUCACGCCGGGCACACUAGUCAGGCAGCUCGGAGCUCAAGUGACCACCACAAAGUUGCCUGACCGCAGCACAGUGGGCUUAGUUGCCAAUACAAUUGGCAACAAGUUCGUGUUCAAUGAAAACUAACUUACGGGAACUUUUAGCUGCACAAGGAUUGCAGGAAUUAAACCCAUUUGUAUUUAUUUAAACGCUAAGAAUUUAAAUAUAGAAAGAUGUUAUAUUUUAGGUGCUUAAA